rnacentral:rRNA from 1 species
GACGAACGCUGGCGGCGUGCUUAACACAUGCAAGUCGAACGGAAAGGCCCUGCUCUUGUGGGGUGCUCGAGUGGCGAACGCGUGUGUAACACGUGAGUAACCUGUCCUUGACUUUGGGAUAACUUCAGGAAACUGGGGCUAAUACCGGAUAGGAGCUCCUGCUGCAUGGUGGGGGUUGGAAAGUUUCGGCGGUUGGGGAUGGUCUCGCGGCUUAUCAGCUUGUUGGUGGGGUAGUGGCUUACCAAGGCUUUGACGGGUAGCCGACCUGGGAGGGUGACCGGCCUCAUUGGGCCUGCGAUACGCCCCAGACUCCUACGUGCCGCAACGGUGGAGAAUAUUGCGCAGUGAGCGGAAGCCUGUUGCAACAGCGCCGCGUGCGGGAUGCUGUCCUUCGGGUUGUAAACAACUUUGGCCUGUGACGAGGCCUGAGUGACGGUACUGGAUAAAGAAGCACCGGCUAACUACGUG